rnacentral:rRNA from 1 species
UACGUAGAAGACUAGUGUUAUUCAUCUUUAGUAGGUUUAAAGGGUACCUAGACGGUAUAAUUAGUCUUAAACAGGAUACGGUUAUACUAGAGUUAUAUAUGAGAAGGCGAGUAUUUAUGGAGUAGAGUUGAAAUUCAUUGAUACCAUAACGACUGGUAACGGCGAAAAGCAACCUUUUAUCUAAUAACUGACGUGAGGGACGAA